UAGCAUAUCAUAGCGGAGGAAAAGACCAACAGGGAUUGCCCUAGUAACGGCGAGUGAAGCGGCAACAGCUCAAAUUUGAAAUCUGGCCUCGGCCCGAGUUGUAAUUUGCAGAGGAUGCUUCUGGCGCGGUGCCUUCCGAGUUCCCUGGAACGGGACGCCACAGAGGGUGAGAGCCCCGUAUGGUCGGACACCAAGCCUGUGUGAAGCUCCUUCGACGAGUCGAGUAGUUUGGGAAUGCUGCUCUAAAUGGGAGGUAAAUCUCUUCUAAAGCUAAAUACCGGCCAGAGACCGAUAGCGCACAAGUAGAGUGAUCGAAAGAUGAAAAGCACCUUGAAAAGGGGGUUAAAUAGUACGUGAAAUUGUUGAAAGGGAAGCACUUGUGACCAGACUUGGGCCGGGCGGCUCAUCAGGGGUUCUCCCCUGUGCACUCCGCCCGGCACAGGCCAGCAUCGGUCUUCGCGGGGGGACAAGACCGCCGGGAACGUAGCACCCUCCGGGGUGUGUUAUAGCCCGGCGGACGAUACCCCCGCGGGGACCGAGGUCCGCGCUCCGCAAGGAUGCUGGCGUAAUGGUCACCAGUGACCCGUCUUGAAACACGGACCAAGGAGUCGUCCAUUAGAGCGAGCGUUUGGGUGUAAAACCCGCACGCGUAAUGAAAGUGAACGCAGGUGAGAGCUUCGGCGCAUCAUCGACCGAUCCUGAUGUUCUCGGAAGGAUUUGAGUAAGAGUUUUAACGGACGGACCCGAAAGACAGUGAACUAUGCUUGUAUAGGGUGAAGCCAGAGGAAACUCUGGUGGAGGCUCGCAGCGGUUCUGACGUGCAAAUCGAUCGUCAAAUAUGAGCAUGGGGGCGAAAGACUAAUCGAACUGUCUAGUAGCUGGUUACCGC
rnacentral:rRNA from 1 species